CUAAGAGGCUGAGUCCUAGUCUGUGGCCAUAGCAAUGUAAUAAUGAAAAAGAGUUUUCAUGAGAUUCACGAUUGGACUGAAGCUAAUUAAGUCUAGCACAUGACGGAUGCUUAGGGUUUGAUGAGUUUUUAUGAUCUGUAUCUUAUCGAAACUCUUGAUAGAAGAACUCAAUCUUAUGAUAACUACAUCUAGGGGUUCAAAUUUUUUUUAUUUUAUUAGAUUGCCACUACAUGCUGUUAGACAUCACUGAUGGAUUAUGAGAACUCAUUAGAGUUAUUUUUGGAUCAACAAUCUUGGUUGGAUUGAGUUGGAAUUGUUCCAGCUCAUCGAAAGGGGUUU
rnacentral:lncRNA from 1 species